UACGUAGGGUGCAAGCGUUAAUCGGAAUUACUGGGCGUAAAGCGUGCGCAGGCGGUUCUAUAAGACAGAUGUGAAAUCCCCGGGCUCAACCCUGGGAACUGCAUUUGUGACUGUAGAACUGGAGUACGGCAGAGGGGGAUGGAAUUCCGCGUGUAGCAGUGAAAUGCGUAGAUAUGCGGAGGAACACCGAUGACGAAGGCAAUCCCCUGGGCCUGCACUGACGCUCAUGCACGAAAGCGUGGGGAGCAAACAGG
rnacentral:rRNA from 1 species